AGUGAACGCUGGCGGUAGGCCUAACACAUGCAAGUCGAACGGCAGCACAGUAAGAGCUUGCUCUUACGGGUGGCGGGGGGCGGACGGGUGAGGCAUACAUCGGAAUCUACUUUUUCGUGGGGGAUAACGUAGGGAAACUUCUGCUAAUACCUCAUACUACCUACGGGUGAAAGCAGGGGAGCUUCGGACCUUGCGCGAUUGAAUGAGCCGAUGUCGGAUUAGCUAGUUGGCGGGGUAAAGGCCCACCAAGGCGACGAUCCGUAGCGAAUCUGACAGGAGGAUCAGCCACACUGGACUUGAGACACGGUCCAGACUCCUACGGGAGGCAGAAGUGGGAAAUAUUGGACAAUGGGCGCAAGCCUGCUCCAGACAGACGGCUUGGGUAAAGAAGUCUUUCGAGUUGUAAAGCCUUUUUGUAGGGAAAGAAAAGUAGCUGAUUAACUCUCCGCUGCUCUGACGGUACCAAAAGAAUAAGCACCGCCUAACUUCGU
rnacentral:rRNA from 1 species